rnacentral:rRNA from 1 species
GUGUCAGCAGCCGCGGUAAUACGAAGGGUGCGAGCGUUAAUCGGAAUUACUGGGCGUAAAGCGCGCGUAGGUGGUUUGAUAAGCGAUAUGUGAAAGCCCUGGGCUCAACCUAGGAACUGCAUGUCGAACUGUCAGGCUAGAGUAUGGUAGAGGGGUGUGGAAUUUCCUGUGUAGCGGUGAAAUGCGUAGAUAUAGGAAGGAACAUCAGUGGCGAAGGCGACACCCUGGACCGAUACUGACACUGAGGCGCGAAAGCGUGGGUAGCGAACAGGAUUAGAUACCCCAGUAGUCC